CUGGCUCAGGAGUGAACGCUAGCGGCAGGCUUAACACAUGCAAGUCGAGGGGCAACGCGAGUAGCAAUACUUGGCGGCGACCGGCGCAAGGGUGCGUAACGCGUGAGCAACAUGCCCGUAUCAGGGGGAUAAUCCAGGGAAACUUGGUCUAAUACCCCAUAGUAAUUUUGUAAGGCAUCUUAUAAGAUUUAAAGCUUUGGUGGAUACGGAUUGGCUCGCGUGACAUUAGCUGGAUGGUAAGGUAACGGCUUACCAUGGCUAUGAUGUCUAGGGGUUCUGAGAGGAAGGUCCCCCACACUGGAACUGAGACACGGUCCAGACUCCUACGGGAGGCAGCAGUGAGGAAUAUUGGACAAUGGAUGGAAAUCUGAUCCAGCCAUGCCGCGUGAAGGAAAAGAAGGUCCUAUGGAUUGUAAACUUCUUUUGUAUGGGAGCAAUAAGGCCUACGAGUAGGUUGAUGAGAGUACCAUACGAAUAAGCACCGGCUAACUCCGUGCCAGCCGCAGC
rnacentral:rRNA from 1 species